rnacentral:misc_RNA from 1 species
UCCUUCAAAUCAUUGAGGAUCAACGUUGACGGUCUCGAUACUCUCGAUUCGUUGAAUUCGCAGUCGGAAGAACGCUUGUACGCGACAUCGGCUGAAUGCAGCGUCUUCAUGGCUUCAACGGUAACGACUUUGUCGCCGAUAACGAAUCGUAGUAAGCGCGAAUCAUCGAGCUGAGGGGACACGUGUACGUUCUACUGCGAGUUUAUCGCGCGUGGACAACGACGUCAACGACGUCUCUUCCUUGAUAUGCCUGGAGUGCAUCGCUCGCGAGAUCAUCGACGUUACACUUUAUCCUAGCUUCGAUUAACGAUUCUACUCUACGCUAGUCAACGGCGAAUAUGGCGGCGAUGGAUGGCGAAGCAAAGCUUGACAUGUAUGAUGAUGUCACGUAUGUUGUUGAUCCUCAACAUGUUGAGGGUGAGAUGACAGUUGGUACAAAGCAGAGGUCGACUUUAGGAGAACCAGAAUUUAAUACAUUAGACGAGCCUAUUAAAGAUACAAUUUUGAGAGACGUUCGAGCGGUGGGCAAGAAGUUUUUCCAUGUUUUAUAUCCUAAAGAGAAGAAAAGUUUACUAAAAGAAUGGGAUUUAUGGGGACCAUUAAUAUUGUGUACUUUUAUGGCAAUGAUAUUGCAAGGUUCAACUGACAUAGCAGAUAGUUCAAACGAUGGAGGACCCGAAUUUGCAGAAGUGUUUGUUAUUGUAUGGAUUGGAUCUAUGGUUGUUACAUUGAAUUCGAAAUUGUUGGGUGGAAAUAUAUCUUUCUUCCAAAGCGUUUGUGUCCUAGGGUAUUGCUUAUUACCGACUGCCAUCGCUCUAAUUUUAUGCAGAAUCAUACUAAUAGUGCAGCAAAGCAGUCUUCUAUUUACUCUUAGGUUGGUGAUCAGCAUGAUUGGAUUUUUGUGGGCAACGUAUGCAUCGAUGGCAUUCCUUGGCGACAGUCAGCCCACAGGCAGGAAGGCAUUAGCAGUAUAUCCAAUUUUCCUGUUUUAUUUUGUUAUAUCAUGGCUAGUUAUAUCCCACACUACAUAAAACGCAACAUAACAAUUAAUCUGUUACAAGACUGCGCAUUGCUCCAACCUUCCGCGUAAAUAGGGGACGUAAUCAGGAGACGACGAAAAAAUAAUCAGAAGGCCGUACUCCUUGACCAGUGUAACUAGUGCCAGGAUUUCUCAA